AAACUAGGUCUAUACCUAGGAUUACACUUUAGACUUACGAUUACAGGUGACUAAAACAAAGGGUUAUCUCAAAAUACAAAAACAAACCCACAAUACAAAUACAAAAUAGCAAAUGGUGUUUUCUAUAAAAAAAAAAAAAAAAAAAAAAAAAAAAAAAGAUGUAAGCAACACGUUAACAUAUCAUGUUUCUGAAGGGCUUUUCUGGAUUUACUAUCAGGACCGCA
rnacentral:lncRNA from 1 species